GGGGAACUAGCUGAAAUGGUAGAGCACUCGCUUAGCGUGCGAGAGGUGGCAGGAUCGGUGCCUGCCUUCUCCA
rnacentral:tRNA from 1 species